UGUGUUUAUUUGACGGUACUCACGCUGUCAGGGUUGAAUCUGUUGUCGGUAAAGAAAAUGUUGGCUCGGAUGUUAUGGGCACAACCAGUGAGAUGGUUGUUGUGUGGAUAGAGAAUCAGCUCCAUGAAAACAAAACAAAGGAGCUGAUAUUGCAAUAGGUUAACCAGGUUACUUUGUGAUUUGCCUUGCCCUAUACCAUUCUCUGAUGCAAUGUAAUUCGUGAAAGAAAGGUAAUAGGUGACAAUACUUUUGCCUUUUAUUCCAGCUGCAUGAGCGUCUACGGAGCCCGAACAGGGAGUCAACAGUCAGCUGCUGUCAGAUCUCGAAAAUGCGGGUUCUUUUAUGACCACCAUGGAUCCCUCACCCCAAGUCAUGAUCCAGUUGCUGAAUGUCCACAAGAAAAUUUAUGUAUUAAAGGGACCUCAUUCCCCAAGCUACUCGACGAAAAAUAAAAUGUAUGCAUGCGCCAAUGAAUUCCAAAAAUUAAUCCUCAUGUGUGUCCAAAUAUUUUGUCUGAGAAGUCCGAAUGUUCUGUGUUGGAAAAGUAUACCUCCCACUGAUAGAACAAGGGAAAGAUCAUUUCGUUGAUGGCGAGUUCACACUGAUGCUGAUCACCGGCGCGCGUUGGCAGUGUCAUGCUGCUUGGUCGGCACUGCAACUACACAGCUAAACAGGAGAUGAUAGCGUCUCAAACUGGACUUUUUGAUCAUUUGAUAAACAUUUAGAA